GCUUCUUCGAGUUAGGGGCCUGACUCCCCGGCGACAAGACAAGAUGGCUCCUCCGCUCUGCGAUGCAGCUACCGUCCCGGCUGCGUUGCUCGGCCCGCCCCCGGUACUGUGCCUUUAAAUGGCGGAGAGGGUCAGGCAAGCAGGAAGAGAGGCGUGUGCCCUCACGUGAUGGGGGCGGACCGGCUAAACAAGAUCCGGUCACGUGGAUCAACGUUGCCCGCCAAUCAGAAGGUGGAGUCUCAGGGCGGGGGCGGGAAGACUUCGAGGUCUGUGAUUGGCCGAAGGUGCGGUGGAGGCCUCGGCGGCAGGGCCGUCGGGAGUGAGCGAGGUGAUUCGCGCUGCGUGCGCUUACGGAGACAAAGCGGUGCCUGAGGUAGCGGUGGCGGCCGCAGCACGGGACUCUGAGACGUUCUAAACGCUGAAUCUCGUGACGCUCGUCCUGUCAUCGUCUUUUCUGGCGCGGCGUGUCGCGGCACGGGCGGUGGUGGCGGCAGCGGCGGCGGAGGCAGCGACAGCACAUGGUUCCAAGAGCGCGCUGCGGUGGUUGAGUUCCAAUUCCGCGGGGAGGGACAAAGGCAUCUGCGAGCUGCAGGCAACGCCCGAUCCGAUCUGGUGGUGCACUCGCCACUGUCCUCUGUUCUCCCAGGAUCUGGGACUAACUCCUCUCUGUCAGUAGCGAGGAGGUGGCCACAGGACCCAGGCUUGGGAAGGCCUGAGGGCCCGAGGCCAUCUUCUGAAGGGGGUGGGGGAAGGGCGCGCCUGAGGUGAUUCUGGAGGGUACAUUGUGAGGUGUUUCUGUGGGCCACUGUGAGUAAUUUCACCUGCUACCUGUGGUGAUUGUGGCAUAAUAGCAAGCUGUGUUGGGGCGGGGUUUGGGAAAAGAAAUCUGUCAGUCAGCACCAAGGACCUUUCUGUUGAGAAGCCGUGAAGCCAGAAGUAGCAUCCUCUCCAUUGCACUGUCCAGUAGAGCACUUUUUUUGAGGAGCCUGAUGUCUUCGGUGGUGACAAAGUCUUCGGUGGUAAUGAUGUAGAUGGACCGUCAGCUUUAUGACAGAAGUAGGUCAAUUUCCUGAAUUUAGGAGAACAGAAAAGGACUUGAAGAACGUGAAGUUGAAGCUGUAAUAAACCGCCAAGUUUGAAGACCAUUCAGAACCGUUCACUUUUGAUGUACGUCGGAAUUGUGUGAAGGAAGCUUGAUCCCCAGAGCACUUUAACGACUGUAGUUUAGAAUAUAGUACUUUCCAAAGUAAUACAUCAGAGUCAUCGAAGUACGUAAAUCACUCGCAGUUUCAAAUAUCUGACUAAUAUCCAAUAUUUUGGAUAGAUAUUUGGGAAAUUUUGUUUCAUGUGUCACUAAGAAAGGACAAACUUACCCUUUACUGGACAGAAUCCUGGGGAAAUCUAUUUCACUAUAUGUACUUUCCUGUUUACGGACAAAGACUGAAGACUCAUCGCAGUCAUGGCCUUCACCAAUUACAGCAGUCUCAACCGAGCCCAACUAACCUUUGAAUAUCUCCACACAAAUUCAACCACUCAUGAAUUCUUAUUUGGUGCUCUUGCUGAACUGGUUGAUAAUGCAAGAGAUGCUGAUGCCACCAGAAUAGACAUUUAUGCUGAGAGGCGGGAAGACCUUCGAGGAGGAUUUAUGCUUUGCUUUUUGGAUGAUGGAGCAGGAAUGGAUCCGAGUGAUGCUGCUAGUGUGAUCCAGUUUGGGAAGUCAGCCAAAAGAACUCCCGAGUCCACCCAAAUUGGGCAGUAUGGCAAUGGAUUAAAAUCGGGCUCAAUGCGGAUUGGGAAGGAUUUUAUCCUCUUCACUAAGAAGGAAGAUACCAUGACUUGCCUCUUCCUGUCUCGAACCUUUCAUGAGGAAGAAGGCAUUGAUGAAGUGAUUGUCCCAUUGCCUACCUGGAAUGCUCGAACACGGGAACCUAUCACAGACAAUGUGGAGAAGUUUGCCAUUGAGACAGAACUUGUGUACAAGUACUCCCCCUUCCACACUGAGGAGCAAGUGAUGAACCAGUUCAUGAAGAUUCCGGGGAAUAGUGGAACACUGGUGAUCAUCUUUAAUCUCAAGCUUAUGGAUAAUGGAGAGCCAGAACUAGACAUAAUCUCAAAUCCAAAAGAUAUCCAGAUGGCAGAAACCUCCCCAGAGGGCACGAAACCAGAGCGACGCUCCUUCCGAGCCUAUGCUGCUGUACUUUAUAUUGACCCCCGGAUGAGGAUCUUCAUCCAUGGACACAAGGUGCAGACCAAGAGACUCUCCUGCUGCCUGUAUAAGCCCAGGAUGUACAAGUAUACAUCAAGUCGUUUCAAGACUCGGGCAGAACAGGAAGUGAAGAAAGCAGAGCAUGUAGCCCGGAUUGCUGAAGAGAAGGCCCGGGAGGCAGAGAGCAAAGCUCGGACUUUAGAAGUACGCAUGGGUGGGGACCUGACACGGGACUCCAGGGUGAUGUUGCGGCAGGUGCAGAAUGCAGCUAUCACCCUGCGUAGAGAAGCCGAUGUCAAGAAAAGGAUCAAGGAUGCCAAGCAGCGAGCACUCAAAGAACCCAAGGAACUGAAUUUUGUUUUUGGGGUCAAUAUUGAACACCGGGACUUAGAUGGCAUGUUUAUCUACAACUGUAGCCGCCUGAUCAAGAUGUAUGAGAAAGUGGGCCCACAGCUGGAAGGGGGCAUGGCAUGCGGUGGGGUUGUCGGGGUUGUCGAUGUGCCCUACCUGGUUCUGGAGCCUACGCAUAACAAGCAGGACUUUGCUGAUGCCAAGGAGUACCGGCACCUGCUGCGAGCAAUGGGGGAGCACUUGGCACAGUACUGGAAGGACAUCGCCAUCGCCCAGCGUGGGAUCAUCAAGUUUUGGGAUGAAUUUGGCUAUCUUUCCGCCAACUGGAACCAACCCCCGUCCAGUGAGCUGCGUUUCAAACGCCGGAGGGCUAUGGAAAUUCCAACCACCAUCCAGUGUGAUUUGUGUUUGAAAUGGAGGACUCUUCCCUUCCAGCUGAGUUCAGUAGAAAAAGAUUACCCUGAUACUUGGGUUUGCUCCAUGAACCCUGAUCCUGAGCAGGACCGCUGUGAAGCUUCUGAACAGAAGCAAAAGGUUCCCUUGGGGACAUUAAAAAAGGACCCAAAGUCCCAGGAAGAAAAGCAGAAGCAGCUGACAGAGAAAAUUCGCCAGCAGCAGGAAAAGCUAGAAGCUCUUCAGAAAACCACGCCCAUCCGCUCACAAGCUGACCUGAAGAAACUGCCCUUAGAAGUGACUACAAGACCUUCUACUGAAGAACCUGUACGGAGACCUCAGCGUCCUCGGUCACCUCCUUUACCUGCAGUGAUCAAGAAUGCUCCUAGCAGACCCCCUUCUAUUCAGACUCCCAGACCAGCUACCCAGCUCCGAAAGACGUCUGUUAUCAGCUCUCCAAAACCACCUGCUACAGCAGCCCGAGGAGAAACUAGUACUUCCAGGAUACUCCAGCCAGCUGAGGCACCCCGAAAGCCUGCAAACCUUCCCAUCAAGACCGUACCCCGACCCACCCCUACUGUCCAGACUCCCUCACCAUCUCUAAUCCCCAAUUCCAAGAACCUCCGGGAGGUCCCUGCUCAAAAAGCCAUCAAAACUCCAAUGGUCAAGAAGCCGGAGCCGCCUGCUAAACAGUCCAUGGCAUCCUCAGGUCGGAAGCGGAGUCUCGUAGUCUCAGAUGAGGAAGAGGCUGAAGAAGAAGCUGAGAAGAGGAAAGAGAGAUGCAAGCGGGGCAAACUUGCUGUGAAGGAGGAGAAGAAGGAGGCAAACGAGCUCUCAGACAGUGCUGGGGAAGAUGACCCGGCUGAACUCAAGAAGGCUCAGAAAGAUAAAGGACUGCAUGUAGAGGUCCGUGUGAACCGGGAGUGGUAUACAGGCCGUGUCACAGCUGUGGAGAUGGGCAAGAAUGUGGUUCGAUGGAAAGUGAAGUUUGACUAUGUGCCCACAGACACAACACCAAGAGACCGCUGGGUGGAGAAAGGCAGUGAAGAUGUACGACUGAUGAAGCCACCUUCCCCAGAGCAUCAGAGCCCUGACACGCAGCAAGAAGGUGGAGAGGAGGAGGAGGCUAUGGUGGCCCAGCAGGCUGUGGCCUUGCCAGAGCCUUCCACCUCUGAUGGUCUUCCCAUUGAGCCUGACACCACUGCCACCAGUACCAGCCAUGAGACUAUUGACCUCCUUGUCCAGAUUCUUCGGAAUUGCCUGCGGUACUUCUUGCCUCCAAGUUUCCCGAUCUCCAAGAAGGAGCUGAGUGUUAUGAACUCAGAAGAACUAAUAUCCUUUCCUCUGAAAGAAUACUUCAAGCAGUAUGAGGUAGGGCUCCAGAAUCUGUGCCAUUCCUACCAGAGCCGUGCUGAUUCACGGGCAAAAGCCUCCGAGGAGAGCCUACGCACAUCGGAGAAAAAGCUUCGUGAGACAGAGGAGAAGUUACAGAAGUUGAGGACCAACAUUGUAGCUCUCCUGCAAAAAGUGCAGGAGGACAUAGACAUCAACACAGAUGAUGAGCUGGAUGCCUACAUUGAAGACCUCAUCACCAAAGGGGACUGAGGAGCUGGGAGUAAGAUCAACUCCUUCGCACACCCACCCCUCAACACAGCAGCUUCUGGGGAGGGGAAUUUCAUUUGGCACAGAGUCUGAGCCAUUCAGCUCCUGGCACCUCAAGAUAGGAUGAAGAAAGCGCCAUCCUGAAGUUGGAGAGGCUCCAAGGGCAUCAACAAUGGGAUAUGAAAGAUAUAUGGCCCCAGGGACUCAGCUCUGCAAGACCCUCCAGGGGUAAUCAAAACAGGCCCAGUAUCAGAAAGACUUUCCCUGUAACAGAUCUCCUGGUGUCCAGUCAGGGCUGUGAAGGUCUGUAGGCUACCUGAGCAGCUGUCAGUCAUCCUGGAUGUGGCAGUAUCCAGACAGCUUGGAGAUGUUUGUUAAUGCUCAAAUUUCCCAAUACACCACCUACUUUGUACUGGAAGAGCCAUUUCCUGAGUCAACCACAUUAUCCAAGCUCAAGCAUAGACAGCUCUGACUGGUCAGACCCUGGGCUAGAUGGCUCUGAAUGUUGAACUCCAAAGAUUCUCAGGGUGUGCAAGGUGUGAGAGAGCUCUCUGGAGGAGACGGCUUCCUCAGUGGUGCUAGUUCCUGGAGAGCCUUUGCUGCUGCUUUUCUACUAUGUACUCUCUGGGCUCCAGAGAGCCCUGCACCUCCCAUGCUCUGGAAGUGAGGAGGAGGGACCAUGUGCUUCAGACAACUACUCAGAGCCAGAAAGGCAAGAGCUUCAUCUGAAGGCUGCUGGAAGAAUUCUGGUUCCAGUCCCAACUCUUCACACCUCUGUUCAAGACUGAUUUUGUACUCUUGACCCAAACCACCUUGGGAUUUGUAUCCAUCAAAGCGAGGCUGCCACCUUGUGUCCCGUGGUCUCUGCAGAAGAUGGGGGAGUGGUGGUGAGGGAACUGCACACGUGGCUGGAAGUGCCUGCUUGAGCUCUGCCAUCAUGUUUAGGGGGUAGCAUUCAGAAUAGUUCUCUGAAACAUUCUCCAAUAGAUGGGUUUUCUGAGUUGGUGCACUCACCCCCGCAUCGCCCCCAUCCAACUUUCUGUUGACCCUAUCCAGGCAGGGUGUGGUCCAUUUUUGUCCGUAAACCCACUGUUUAAAAGGAAAUUGGCCCUGCAUUUUUAUUGGCAGGUAAUACUCACUUUGAUUUUUUUUACUUACACAUGUAAUCAAAAUGUAUUACUAUAAAUUUCUACUGGUGAGA